UAGGGAAUCUUCGGCAAUGGACGGAAGUCUGACCGAGCAACGCCGCGUGAGUGAAGAAGGCCUUCGGGUUGUAAAGCACUUUUGUCCGGAAAGAAAUGGCUCUGGUUAAUACCUGGGGUCGAUGACGGUACCGGAAGAAUAAGGACCGGCUAACUACGUGCCAGCAGCCGCGGUAAUACGUAGGGUCCAAGCGUUAAUCGGAAUUACUGGGCGUAAAGCGUGCGCAGGCGGUUGUGCAAGACCGAUGUGAAAUCCCCGAGCUUAACUUGGGAAUUGCAUUGGUGACUGCACGGCUAGAGUGUGUCAGAGGGGGGUAGAAUUCCACGUGUAGCAGUGAAAUGCGUAGAGAUGUGGAGGAAUACCGAUGGCGAAGGCAGCCCCCUGGGAUAACACUGACGCUCAUGCACGAAAGCGUGGGGAGCAAACAGG
rnacentral:rRNA from 1 species